rnacentral:rRNA from 1 species
AAUACCGCAUACGAUCUAAGGAUGAAAGUGGGGGAUCGCAAGACCUCAUGCUCCUGGAGCGGCCGAUAUCUGAUUAGCUAGUUGGUGGGGUAAAGGCCUACCAAGGCAUCGAUCAGUAGCUGGUCUGAGAGGACGACCAGCCACACUGGAACUGAGACACGGUCCAGACUCCUACGGGAGGCAGCAGUGGGGAAUUUUGGACAAUGGGCGCAAGCCUGAUCCAGCAAUGCCGCGUGAGUGAAGAAGGCCUUCGGGUUGUAAAGCUCUUUUGUCAGGGAAGAAACGGGUGGAGCUAAUAUCUCUGCCUAAUGACGGUACCUGAAGAAUAAGCACCGGCUAACUACGUGCCAGCAGCCGCGGUAAUACGUAGGGUGCAAGCGUUAAUCGGAAUUACUGGGCGUAAAGCGUGCGCAGGCGGUUUUGUAAGUCUGUCGUGAAAUCCCCGGGCUCAACCUGGGAAUUGCGAUGGAGACUGCAAGGCUAGAAUCUGGCAGAGGGGGGUAGAAUUCCACGUGUAGCAGUGAAAUGCGUAGAGAUGUGGAGGAACACCGAUGGCGAAGGCAGCCCCCUGGGUCAAGAUUGACGCUCAUGCACGAAAGCGUGGGGAGCAAACAGGAUUAGAUACCCUGGUAGUCCACGCCCUAAACGAUGUCUACUAGUUGUCGGGUCUUAAUUGACUUGGUAACGCAGCUAACGCGUGAAGUAGACCGCCUGGGGAGUACGGUCGCAAGAUUAAAACUCAAAGGAAUUGACGGGGACCCGCACAAGCGGUGGAUGAUGUGGAUUAAUUCGAUGCAACGCGAAAAACCUUACCUACCCUUGACAUGGACGGAACCCUUGAG